CCUACGGGUGGCAGCAGUGGGGAAUAUUGCACAAUGGGCGCAAGCCUGAUGCAGCCAUGCCGCGUGUGUGAAGAAGGCCUUCGGGUUGUAAAGCACUUUCAGCGGGGAGGAAGGCGUUAAGGUUAAUAACCUUGGCGAUUGACGUUACCCGCAGAAGAAGCACCGGCUAACUCCGUGCCAGCAGCCGCGGUAAUACGGAGGGUGCAAGCGUUAAUCGGAAUUACUGGGCGUAAAGCGCACGCAGGCGGUCUGUCAAGUCGGAUGUGAAAUCCCCGGGCUCAACCUGGGAACUGCAUUCGAAACUGGCAGGCUAGAGUCUUGUAGAGGGGGGUAGAAUUCCAGGUGUAACGGUGAAAUGCGUAGAGAUCUGGAGGAAUACCGGUGGCGAAGGCGGCCCCCUGGACAAAGACUGACGCUCAGGUGCGAAAGCGUGGGGAGCAAACAGGAUUAGAUACCCGGGUAGUC
rnacentral:rRNA from 1 species